rnacentral:rRNA from 1 species
CACGUAGGGUGCGAGCGUUGUCCGGAAUUAUUGGGCGUAAAGAGCUCGUAGGCGGUCCGUCACGUCGGAUGUGAAAUUCCAGGGCUCAACCCUGGACCUGCAUUCGAUACGGGCGGACUAGAGUUCGGUAGGGGAGACUGGAAUUCCUGGUGUAGCGGUGAAAUGCGCAGAUAUCAGGAGGAACACCGGUGGCGAAGGCGGGUCUCUGGGCCGUAACUGACGCUGAGGAGCGAAAGCAUGGGGAGCGAACAGG